UUUAUUACAGAUAAGGGUGGCGGCCUAUGAAUAGCUUUUCCUGCAGGAUACAUCCCCCCACUCAUAACGGUGACAUCAAGUUCAACACAGCUUCUCCUCUUCUGGAACCUGUCAUGGAAAUGAAAGAACAGUUCAUUUGAUGAGAUAAAGAUAUCAGGAGACUGAAGCAUACUGAGAAGAGUCUCUUCAAGCUGACAGCCUCAACAGUAUCACAGAAUCACAGAAUCACGGGAUGGCCUGGGUUGGAAGAGACCUCAAGGGUCACGAAGCUCUGUGGCAGAGGGAGGCAUAGAAAAUCACAGAAAAUUGAGGAUAUGUCGAGCAUCUACUGACUCCUUAAUGGCUUGGAGUUUCUCCAGUAUUCGUCAUCCUGAAAUUUCUGGACUAUUCUCUCUUCUCUUUAUUGACCACAAAAAAAACUCCAGAUUCAGUUGGUUAGAACAUCCAAUAAUCUGAGGUUCAGGCCCUGGUUUAUUCCAGGAUCCUUCCCAAAGAAGACUCAAGAAGUUGGCACAAGGACUCCUGCUAGUUAUUCUCCAGCUCCAGCGCCUUAAUUGUAAAUCUAUCCUCAACUUACUGAGAGGAGAAUGAUAAGAGAUGUCACAGCAUCGAUUUGUGUCUAGAGGUCUUCAUUAGGAUACCUGGUCAGGUCACUCUUGUGUUUUCUAUGCCAACUACUAUUCUUAAAAUAGUAAGACUUAUUCACUGAGAAUGACAGUGAGAAGUUCGUGUGUAUGUUUUAUGAAUAAAACAUGUUCCAUCUUUUUUAUCAACAAAACAUAUAGUUCAGACCCACACAUUUUAUUGUCUCCAGUGGGCUUUGAAAAAAUCUUUUCAGGCACUACUACUAUGAGAACAUCCUGAAGAUAUCCACACCAUCCUAUGCCUGUUAUUUAUAGCUAAAUGCAAAUAUGUAAUGAAA